rnacentral:snoRNA from 1 species
AUGCAUCUCUGACAGACCUGGAGCGGUUAAUGUCUGCUGCUAAGGUUUCCACUACAGAUGCAAGAAAAAAAGGUCCUCGCGCUUUCUGUCUGUCUGAUUGUGGCAGCCAAGAUUGAAUGGGGGAAUACAGGA